GAUUCUGGCUCAGGAUGAACGCUAGCGACAGGCUUAACACAUGCAAGUCGAGGGGCAGCACGGGAGUAGCAAUACUUUGGUGGCGACCGGCGCACGGGUGAGUAACGCGUAUGCAACCUACCUAUCAGAGGGGAAUAACCCGGCGAAAGUCGGACUAAUACCGCAUAAAACAGGGGCACCGCAUGGUGAUAUUUGUUAAAGAAAUUCGCUGAUAGAUGGGCAUGCGUUCCAUUAGGUAGUUGGUGAGGUAACGGCUCACCAAGCCGACGAUGGAUAGGGGAACUGAGAGGUUGGUCCCCCACACUGGUACUGAGACACGGACCAGACUCCUACGGGAGGCAGCAGUGAGGAAUAUUGGUCAAUGGGCGGGAGCCUGAACCAGCCAAGUCGCGUGAAGGAAAGAAGGAUCUAUGGUUCGUAAACUUCUUUUGCAGGGGAAUAAAGUGCAGGACGUGUCCUGUUUUGUAUGUACCCUGAGAAUAAGGAUCGGCUAACUCCGUGCCAGCAGCUGC
rnacentral:rRNA from 1 species